CCAUCCACAAAAUCACGUUUCCUUAAAAUUCUUGUUUAAAAUCUCCCUCCAAAAUCAAUUAAUUCUCUCCCCUUACCUUAUUCAAUCUGCCAGUUUCACCCAUUCGUUCUUAUUCAAGUUUCAUCAGGACCUAGGGAUUAAUGUGAUAGGAUUGGGAAGAGAAGUUGUUUCCAUCGAUUGUUAUACAAGAACUGGUAAGUAACAAUGGCUAACGGAAGGGAGAGUGCGCUCAAUUUCUAUUAAGGUGUUGCUGUGGAUUGC